UGGGGAGUGGCCAAGUGGUAAGGCGCCUGCCUUUGGAGCAGGUAUAUCGUAGGUUCGAAUCCUACCUCCCCAG
rnacentral:tRNA from 1 species